AUGGUGGAAAGAACUGCAGUGAACUGGGGCCUUCUGAGAAAACGGAAUCAUGCAACAUACAGGAAUGCCCAAUUGAUGGCAAAUACACUGAAUGGAAGGAGUCUGAGUGCAGUGCGACAUGUGGAGGAGGAGUAAUAACUAAAACAAGAACUUGCACCAAUCCUGCUCCACAGCACGGUGGAAAGGACUGCAGUGAACUGGGACCAGCUGAAAUAACACUUUCAUGCAAUGAAGAAUCAUGCGCAAUUGAUGGCAA
rnacentral:lncRNA from 1 species